rnacentral:rRNA from 1 species
GACGAACGCUGGCGGCGUGCUUAACACAUGCAAGUCGAACGGUGAAGCAGAGCUUGCUCUGUGGAUCAGUGGCGAACGGGUGAGUAACACGUGAGUAACCUGCCCUUGACUCUGGGAUAAGCGUUGGAAACGACGUCUAAUACCGGAUACGAGCUGAGACCGCAUGGUCAUCAGUUGGAAAGAUUUUUUGGUCAAGGAUGGACUCGCGGCCUAUCAGCUUGUUGGUGAGGUAAUGGCUCACCAAGGCGACGACGGGUAGCCGGCCUGAGAGGGUGACCGGCCACACUGGGACUGAGACACGGCCCAGACUCCUACGGGAGGCAGCAGUGGGGAAUAUUGCACAAUGGGCGCAAGCCUGAUGCAGCAACGCCGCGUGAGGGAUGACGGCCUUCGGAUUGUAAACCUCUUUUAGUAGGGAAGAAGCGAAAGUGACGGUACCUGCAGAAAAAGCACCGGCUAACUACGUG